ACAAAAAAUUAAGGAGAAAUAGGAGUAUCGAGAUCAACAUAUUAAAAAGUUCAUAUAACAUAUGUAACGUUUAUGGUAAAAGUUUAAGAUAAUGUUUGGGAUAGCAAUUACCAAUUAGAGAGAGAUAUAUAUAGAUAUAUGAUCUUUGUAAAUUAGGAAAACAAAAGAUUAGCACGCCGUAUAUGGAAUUAGGCUCUAUCAAGAGUACUUCACUAAGAAAAAGUCUACACAGCAGCCACUGUUUAGCUGCAUCCAUUGCAGUCAUGACGUGUAGAUCGGGUUCACUAACAACGAAACCGGUUCUGCACCUCAGCUGCUCAGCCCCCCCCUCUCUCCCCUCUCGAAGCCCUCAAUCCCUACCCUCUCGAAUUCGAAAACCAUCUUCCGAGUAUCUCCUCGUAUCCCUUUUGCCGAGAGAGACCCUUAAUCCCCUCACGUAUGUUUUCCCUUUCUUUUUCUUCAUUGAGAAUGCCUCAAGUUUAUUCACAAAAUCCGUCGUCUUUUUCUUCUUCUCUAUGAAUCACAGAGUGGCGCUGACGAAGUCGAUAAUAUCUGCUUCUCUGGGAAGUGCGGAACUCAGGUUCGAUUUCGAUACAUUUUUCUUCUCAUUCUCUGUGAUUCUCUCAACCCCCUCAUGUACAUUGUGAUUGUCUCUACCCGGUACCCCGCGUCGCUCAGAGAUCUAUGGCCAUGCAGUAAGGGUUUAUGCACACAUUUCGAAGUCUGAUCUGCACACAAACAUUGGGAUGUUAUAUGUGAUGAAGCAAUCUUGAAGCUCAGCAUUUGAGGGAGAAGCGAGAUGUACAUUUUUCAUAUGCCCAAUAUACUUCAUUUGUAGAAGAGAGAAUGCAAUUCAGAAGACGUGGGAUUACAUAUUGCUGCAGAGUAUGAAAUUCAGAAAAUGGAAGAUAAACUCAGAGAGAGAGAGAGAGAGAGAGAGAGAGAGAUGUUCACAAGGAAAAAUAAAUAUUAUUGUGUUUAUACUGGGCUGUGAUGUGGUUAUGAUGUUUUAGUUAUGAUAUACAAAAUGGGGUAUGCAUAUGUAUGAUAUUCAUGUGUAUGAAAAUGUUGGUUUGUAAAAUUAUGUUGUUGGUAUGGAGAUUAACUUGUUUGUGAAA